UCUUCUGUGCAAGGACAGUGUGCCACCCGU
rnacentral:piRNA from 1 species